rnacentral:rRNA from 1 species
UCGGGAAUAUUGCGCAAUGGAGGAAACUCUGACGCAGUGACGCCGCGUGCAGGAAGAAGGUUUUCGGAUUGUAAACUGCUUUGGACAGGGAGGAAACAAGACAGUACCUGUAGAAUAAGCUCCGGCUAACUACGUGCCAGCAGCCGCGGUAAUACGUAGGGAGCAAGCGUUAUCCGGAUUUAUUGGGUGUAAAGGGUGCGUAGACGGGAAUGCAAGUUGGUUGUGAAAUCCCUCGGCUCAACCGAGGAAUUGCAACCAAAACUAUAUUUCUUGAGUGCUGGAGAGGAAAGUGGAAUUCCUAGUGUAGCGGUGAAAUGCGUAGAUAUUAGGAGGAACACCAGUGGCGAAGGCGACUUUCUGGACAGUAACUGACGUUGAAGCACGAAAGUGUGGGGAGCAAACAGGAUUAGAUACC